UUUGAUUCCCUAAAAGACACAAAGAUAGAAAGAGACACGUGUCAGAUCUGUUAAUUUUUUUUAAAAACAGCUGCAAAAGUGCGAACAUUCCGUGCGGUAGUCUUUUCAGCAUGCAAUUUUUUUUUUUCCGUCUAUGUGUAACGACUGUCAUUUGGUUCAGAAUGUCGUAUCAGCUAGAUGAAGCAGAUUCCGACUGCAGUGACAAUCAACAGAAAUACAGCAACAGAAAUCAAUGCUAUCAGAGAUCCAGCACCUGGAGAAUGUGAAGGAGGGGGUGAAGUAGACCGUGGACCUGAUGCUGUAACGGCUAAAGAGAGUUUGUAAUAUACAUAUAUGCUACUUCAGAUUAAGCUUUUGCUGUCAAAAGAUGGCACAUUUUACCAUUCACAUACCUGCA